rnacentral:rRNA from 1 species
AUUGAACGCUGGCGGCAGGCCUAACACAUGCAAGUCGAACGGUAACAGGAAGAAGCUUGCUUCUUUGCUGACGAGUGGCGGACGGGUGAGUAAUGUCUGGGAAACUGCCUGAUGGAGGGGGAUAACUACUGGAAACGGUAGCUAAUACCGCAUAACGUCGCAAGACCAAAGAGGGGGACCUUCGGGCCUCUUGCCAUCGGAUGUGCCCAGAUGGGAUUAGCUAGUAGGUGGGGUAACGGCUCACCUAGGCGACGAUCCCUAGCUGGUCUGAGAGGAUGACCAGCCACACUGGAACUGAGACACGGUCCAGACUCCUACGGGAGGCAGCAGCGGGGAAUAUUGCACAAUGGGCGCAAGCCUGAUGCAGCCAUGCCGCGUGUAUGAAGAAGGCCUUCGGGUUGUAAAGUACUUUCAGCGGGGAGGAAGGGAGUAAAGUUAAUACCUUUGCUCAUUGACGUUACCCGCAGAAGAAGCACCGGCUAACUCCGUG